GACGAACGCUGGCGGCGUGCUUAACACAUGCAAGUCGAACGGAAAGGCCCUGCUUUUGUGGGGUGCUCGAGUGGCGAACGGGUGAGUAACACGUGAGUAACCUGCCCUUGACUUUGGGAUAACUUCAGGAAACUGGGGCUAAUACCGGAUAGGAGCUCCUGCUGCAUGGUGGGGGUUGGAAAGUUUCGGCGGUUGGGGAUGGACUCGCGGCUUAUCAGCUUGUUGGUGGGGUAGUGGCUUACCAAGGCUUUGACGGGUAGCCGGCCUGAGAGGGUGACCGGCCACAUUGGGACUGAGAUACGGCCCAGACUCCUACGGGAGGCAGCAGUGGGGAAUAUUGCACAAUGGGCGGAAGCCUGAUGCAGCAACGCCGCGUGCGGGAUGACGGCCUUCGGGUUGUAAACCGCUUUCGCCUGUGACGAAGCGUGAGUGACGGUAAUGGGUAAAGAAGCACCGGCUAACUACGUGCCAGCAGCCGCGGUGAUACGUAGGGUGCGAGCGUUGUCCGGAUUUAUUGGGCGUAAAGGGCUCGUAGGUGGUUGAUCGCGUCGGAAGUGUAAUCUUGGGGCUUAACCCUGAGCGUGCUUUCGAUACGGGUUGACUUGAGGAAGGUAGGGGAGAAUGGAAUUCCUGGUGGAGCGGUGGAAUGCGCAGAUAUCAGGAGGAACACCAGUGGCGAAGGCGGUUCUCUGGGCCUUUCCUGACGCUGAGGAGCGAAAGCGUGGGGAGCGAACAGGCUUAGAUACCCUGGUAGUCCACGCUGUAAACGGUGGGUACUAGGUGUGGGGUCCAUUCCACGGGUUCCGUGCCGUAGCUAACGCUUUAAGUACCCCGCCUGGGGAGUACGGCCGCAAGGCUAAAACUCAAAGGAAUUGACGGGGCCCCGCACAAGCGGCGGAGCAUGCGGAUUAAUUCGAUGCAACGCGUAGAACCUUACCUGGGUUUGACAUGGAUCGGGAGUGCUCAGAGAUGGGUGUGCCUCUUUUGGGGUCGGUUCACAGGUGGUGCAUGGCUGUCGUCAGCUCGUGUCGUGAGAUGUUGGGUUAAGUCCCGCAACGAGCGCAACCCUUGUUCACUGUUGCCAGCACGUUAUGGUGGGGACUCAGUGGAGACCGCCGGGGUCAACUCGGAGGAAGGUGGGGACGACGUCAAGUCAUCAUGCCCCUUAUGUCCAGGGCUUCACGCAUGCUACAAUGGCUGGUACAGAGAGUGGCGAGCCUGUGAGGGUGAGCGAAUCUCGGAAAGCCGGUCUCAGUUCGGAUUGGGGUCUGCAACUCGACCUCAUGAAGUCGGAGUCGCUAGUAAUCGCAGAUCAGCAACGCUGCGGUGAAUACGUUCCCGGG
rnacentral:rRNA from 1 species